UAUCGUCUUCAUGAAGCAUUAUCUCAAAUAUAUAUAUGUAUUUUUUUUAUUAUAUUUCUUAAGAGCUAAAAUAAUGCAAGUUCUAAAAUUCUACAAAUUAAAAGUUCCUCUUUCUAUUUCACCAUUUCGUGGUCAGGACCGCUUCCUCAGGAAAGCUUUAGAGAAAAGUUGUUAUUCACAGGAGCUUUGCUAAGUAAGGUGUCAUGAUCCUAAAUAUUGAAAUAGCGGGUAAAACUGUCGACCUGUAUCAUUUUAAUAACUUUCAUUUUUUUCGCUUCUAAAAAAUGUAAUCAAAAACUUUUGUGUAUUUGUUUUCUUUUUUAAGCUUAAUACCAUAAAGAAAGUUUUUCGUGGAGAUGUCUAUGGGUAAUAGGAAAAUCUUUUGCUAUAUAUGAAUGCCUGUGUGAAGGUGGAUGGCUCAGUGGUUAGAGCAUCAGUUUCACAAUCAUGAGGUAGUGAGUUCGAUUCCUGGACCGAGCUGUGUGUUGUGUUCUUGAGCAAGACACUUUACUUUACGUUGCUCCAGUUCACUCAGCUGUAGAAAUGAGUUGCGACGUCACAGGUGCCAAGCUGUAUUGGCCCCUUUGUCUUUCCCAUGGAUAACAUCGGUGGUGUUGGAGAGAUGAGGCUGGUAUGCAUGGGCGACUGCUGGUCUUCCACAAAACAACCUUACUCGGACUUGUGCCUCAGAGGGGAACUUUCUAGGUGCAAUCCCAUGGUCAUUCAUGACCAAAAGGGGAUCUUUACUCUCUUUUUUAUGAAUGCAAAAGAUAUAUAUUUGUCUCCUUGUCUUGAUUGGAAGCCGUUUGCUUCCAAUCUUCCAUGGAAAUAUGUUCGUCCAUGGGAUAAACAUUACCUUCCUCGAGAAGAGGUAACAGUUAGGGACAGGAAAGGCAUCCAUCUAACCAUAGAAAACAUGCCUCUAUGAAUUCUGUCUGACCCAUGCGAGUAUGGAAGGAUGACGUAAAAACAAUGAUGAGGAUGACAUAGAAAUAAAUACGCACAUCAUCAUCAGUUUUACAUCCAUUUUUCCCUGCCUGCAUGAGUUAGAGGAAACCUCUUUUGCUGUAUAUGAAUGCAUGUGUGAAGGUGGAUGGCUCAGUGGUUAGAGCGUCGGGCUCACAAUCAUGAGGUAGUGUGUUCGAAUCCCGGACCAGUCUGCUUGUUGUGUUCUUGAGCAAGACACUUUAUUUCACGUUGCUCCAGUCACUCAGCUGUAGAAAUGAGUUGUAAUGUCUCUGGUGCCAAACUGUAUCGGCCCCUUUGCCUUUCACUUGGAUAACAUCGGUGGUGUUGGACAGAUGAGGCUGGUAUGCAUGGGCGAUUGCUAGUCCUCCACAAAACAACCUUAUACGUAUGUAUAUAUAUAAGGAGAACUUUCUAAGUGCAAUCCCAUGGUCAUUCAUAACCAAAAGGGGAGCUUUACUCUUUUUAUGCACUCUCUACCCAAAUUUUUUUUUUUGUCAUCCAGCAUCAUAUAUUUCUAAUAUGCAUAAAAAAAUCUAUCUUUAAAGACAGGAAAGAGACGGCUGUGAGUAUGAUGCACACCUGCAUAGUUGCACACCUGCAUAGCUGCACAUAUACUAUUCUGCAUUUAAUAUAGGGUUUGAUUUUUAAAUUUCGAAUGCUCUAGUUUAUGUGCAACAAUUUGUAACUGAUCUAUGAAGCAUAUACAUACAUAUUUUUUUAUAUAAAUACAUAUAAAUAUAAAGGCACACACACACACACACACACACACAUAUAUCUCCAUCUAUCAAUAUCUUUAUAUGUAUACUUACGUACACACACAUAUAUAUAUGCAUUUAUACAUAAAUAUAGUUUAUUUCUAGGCAUAUACAUACACACAUACACACAGAUAAAUGAAUAUGUAUUUAUUCACAAAACACACACACAUACAUACACACAUAUAUGUUUAUUUAUAAACAUAAAUACAUAUACACAAAGAUGUGCAUAUGUAUUUAUCCACAAAAUUGCAUGUAUAACAAAUGUUUAUGAAUACACACACACACACACACACACAAACUCUUAUACAUACAUAAACACAUAUACAUAUAUACAUGUAUAUACAUACAUAUAUUUAUGCAUACAUAUAUA
rnacentral:lncRNA from 1 species